AGCAGCGUGGCUCAGUGGAAAGAGCACGGGCUUGGGAGUCAGAGGUCAUGGGUUCGAGUCCCAGCUCUGCCA
rnacentral:tRNA from 1 species